AUCAUGACCCGAACCGAAGGCAGCCACUUAACUGACUGAGCCACCCAGGGACUCCAGCAGAGAUGAGAGGCUGUGGUUCUUCAGUAGCUGAUGGAAAUGGAUGUGUACCAGGCACUGUCUUAGGGGCCAGGGACACCAUCAUGAUCAAGACAACUUGAGUCCCUGCCCUCAUAGAAGGUGAUCACAUAGUCCCAGCUGAAUAGAGCAAACUCAGCAGAUAAUCGAAUACUUAUAAGAGUGCAGAGUUCUGCUAAGGAGCCAUAAGAGUGGAGCAGAGGUAAUUGGUCAGGUGUUAACAUCCACUAACACUCACCCUGAGGCUUCAGUUUGCUCACAUGCUGCCCACUCUCACAUUAUGUCUCCAGUUCUGACUCUCCUCUGAGCUCCAGACCUGCCAUUUGCACUUGCCCAACAGGAGGUAGAGUCUAAUCCCGCUCCCUUUGGAUUUGGACAGGCUUACAUCUUACUUGUAGCCAGGACACUACAGCAGAUGUGACUCUGUAUGCUGUCUGAGGCUAGGUCACAUGAGGCAAACGCAGCUCUGCCUUGCUCUCUGGGAUGCUCCCUCUUGAGGACUUCAGCUGUCGUGUGAACAGUCCGAUAGGCCGGAGGCUGCCAUGCUGUGAGGAAGCCCAUCGCAGGCCAUGCAGAGACCCCGAGGACAGCCUCUGAGGCUCCGUGAAGAGGGAGAGGCCCAGCCAGCCCACAGGUGUUCUCUCACCAGUAGUCCAGCUCUACAUUAGAAACCCAAGUUAGAA